GGGGUAGCUUUGGUUUCGACAGGCUAUUUCUAUGGUGGAUGACUGCAAGUAGUCAGUGAUGACUUUAAAUAUUCUAAAUUAAAAUUAAAUGACAAAAAUGAAAGCUCUAUCGGAGCAUUCACUCCUGUAUUUGCCUAAUUAAAGGUUGGGAGACUCUUACUUAAUUUUUCCUAUAGGUUAAGAUAAGAGUUCAUAUAUAUAGGAUAUAUAUUAUAAUUGAUUAGGUUAUAAUAUGAAUCUUACUAAUCUUAGUUAAAUAAUAGGUGUGUAGUAGCCGGUUAUUUAAUGAAGUUAUAAUUACUACUAAACUUGUAGAUGUUGUCUUAUCAUAUAGUUUGGACAUGGGUUCAAUUCCCAUCUACUCCACCA
rnacentral:tmRNA from 1 species